UAUGGGUCUAGAAACAUCUCUCCUAUGUUCCAUCAAAAACUUAGGUGAACUCUUUGAGUUCUCCUUCUUCAGAAUUUGAAGAAACCAUUUCGGAAGACAUGGCAGUAACAUGGUUGUGAACUUGUGAUCCUUUUAUAUGUCAAUAACUUGCUGAUCACACGGACGAUGACAAGAUGGUUGAAGAAUCUAAGAGAUGAAUACUGGAUUAGCUUCACCAGCUAUUAGUGAUUACAAGAGUCCAUGGAUGUGUUAACCCAAAAAUAAUGUUCUCUCUGCUUCUGGUCUUUAACCACCCAACGCUGCGUGGUGGUAGCGAGAGGGAAACAGGAAAGGACUUUGAAUGAGUAUACAUGUGAUGGUACAAAAUACUAAAGGAAAUUAGCUUUUAUGAAAAUGAAAGAUUUUUGACUUCGAUUCAAUGGACCAAUUCCUCCCAAGCUUGGCAAUUCUCCAACCAUUGUAGAAAUAUUAUGCAUUUUAAGUCUCUUACUGUUAUUGUCAUUGUAUGUGGAUGUACCUUUAUAGUCUCAGCUAAAUAUGGUUUGUCAUUGUUCACUGAUUCAGAUGGAUUCCCUGAGUUCAAGCGUAUGUGACAUAGCCUACAUUAUGCUUUUUAAGUUUUUGUACUUUUAUGUUUGAGACUUUUUAUUUUUAAGAACUUAAAAAUGUACAUUACCUUGUAAAUAAAUGAUGUUUGAGACUUUUGAAGUCA